rnacentral:tRNA from 1 species
GCGGGAAUGGCGGAAUUGGCAGACGCGCACGGUUCAGGUCCGUGUGUUCGCAAGGACAUGCAGGUUCAAGUCCUGUUUCCCGCACCA